rnacentral:rRNA from 1 species
AUAGGGGAGCCGAAGGGAAACCGAGUCUUAACUGGGCGUUAAGUUGCAGGGUAUAGACCCGAAACCCGGUGAUCUAGCCAUGGGCAGGUUGAAGGUUGGGUAACACUAACUGGAGGACCGAACCGACUAAUGUUGAAAAAUUAGCGGAUGACUUGUGGCUGGGGGUGAAAGGCCAAUCAAACCGGGAGAUAGCUGGUUCUCCCCGAAAGCUAUUUAGGUAGCGCCUCGUGAACUCAUCUUCGGGGGUAGAGCACUGUUUCGGCUAGGGGGUCAUCCCGACUUACCAACCCGAUGCAAACUGCGAAUACCGAAGAAUGUUAUCACGGGAGACACACGGCGGGUGCUAACGUCCGUCGUGAAGAGGGAAACAACCCAGACCGCCAGCUAAGGUCCCAAAGUCACAGUUAAGUGGGAAACGAUGUGGGAAGGCUCAGACAGCCAGGAUGUUGGCUUAGAAGCAGCCAUCAUUUAAAGAAAGCGUAAUAGCUCACUGGUCGAGUCGGCCUGCGCGGAAGAUGUAACGGGGCUAAACUGUGCACCGAAGCUGCGGCAGCGACGCUUAUGCGUUGUUGGGUAGGGGAGCGUUCUGUAAGCCUGCGAAGGUGUCCUGUGAGGGAUGCUGGAGGUAUCAGAAGUGCGAAUGCUGACAUAAGUAACGAUAAUGCGGGUGAAAAGCCCGCUCGCCGGAAGACCAAGGGUUCCUGUCCAACGUUAAUCGGGGCAGGGUGAGUCGACCCCUAAGGCGAGGCCGAAAGGCGUAGUCGAUGGGAAACGGGUUAAUAUUCCCGUACUUGGUGUUACUGCGAAGGGGGGACGGAGAAGGCUAUGUUGGCCGGGCGACGGUUGUCCCGGUUUAAGCGUGUAGGUGUGUGUUCCAGGUAAAUCCGGUUCACUUUAACACUGAGGCGUGAUGACGAGGCACUACGGUGCUGAAGCAACAAAUGCCCUGCUUCCAGGAAAAGCCUCUAAGCAUCAGGUAACAUCAAAUCGUACCCCAAACCGACACAGGUGGUCAGGUAGAGAAUACCAAGGCGCUUGAGAGAACUCGGGUGAAGGAACUAGGCAAAAUGGUGCCGUAACUUCGGGAGAAGGCACGCUGACACGUAGGUGAAGUGAUUUACUCA